UGAUGACAUCAGACUUGAUUUAUCCACCAUUUUGUUGUAAGCAGUCGGCAGAAAAAUUCUGACUCACUGGCAUCUGAUAUUUUGUAAAUAGAACAGGAAUUUCAGGUGUAAUAACAAAAUGUCAGGAGCACCAGAAGGACAACCACCUAGAGACAUGCAGAGUAAACGCAUGCAGCAAACACAGGCACAGGUUGACGAGGUGGUAGAUAUAAUGAGAGUAAAUGUUGACAAGGUGCUUGAAAGAGAUCAGAAAAUCUCA